rnacentral:rRNA from 1 species
GACGAACGCUGGCGGCGUGCUUAACACAUGCAAGUCGAACGGAAAGGCCCUGCUUUUGUGGGGUGCUCGAGUGGCGAACGGGUGAGUAACACGUGAGUAACCUGCCCUUGACUUUGGGAUAACUUCAGGAAACUGGGGCUAAUACCGGAUAGGAGCUCCUGCUGCAUGGUGGGGGUUGGAAAGUUUCGGCGGUUGGGGAUGGACUCGCGGCUUAUCAGCUUGUUGGUGGGGUAGUGGCUUACCAAGGCUUUGACGGGUAGCCGGCCUGAGAGGGUGACCGGCCACAUUGGGACUGAGAUACGGCCCAGACUCCUACGGGAGGCAGCAGUGGGGAAUAUUGCACAAUGGGCGGAAGCCUGAUGCAGCAACGCCGCGUGCGGGACGACGGCCUUCGGGUUGUAACCCGCUUUCGCCUGUAACGAAGCGUGAGUGACGGUAAUGGGUAAAGAAGCACCGGCUAACUACGUG